AACUUGUAACAAUGUAUCUCUUGGCUCUGGCAUCGAUGAAGAACGCAGCGAAACGCGAUAUGUAAUGUGAAUUGCAGACUUUAGUGAAUCAUCGAAUCUUUGAACGCACAUUGCGCCCCGUGGUAUUCCGCGGGGCAUACCUGUUCGAGCGUCAUUACAACCUCUCCAGCUCUGCUGGGUCUUGGGGCUUGCCUUCCCGGGCAUCCCUUAAAACUAGAUGCGGCGCCGCGUGGCUCUAAGCGUAGUACUUUUCUCGCUUCUGGGUCCGCUGUGGUGUUUGCUACAUAACCCCAACUUUCUAUGGUUGACCUCGAAUCAGGUAGGGAUACCCGCUGAACUUAAGCAUAUCAAUAAGCGGAGGCU
rnacentral:misc_RNA from 1 species